rnacentral:rRNA from 1 species
AGUUUGAUCCUGGUCCAGUGUGAACGCUGGCGGCAGGCCUAAUACAUGCAAGUCGAACGGCAGCACAGCAGAGCUUGCUCUGUGGGUGGCGAGUGGCGGACGGGUGAGGAAUACAUGGGAAUCUGCCCAGUCGUGGGGGAUAACGUAUGGAAACGUACGCUAAUACCGCAUGCGCCCUUUGGGGGAAAGCCGGGGACCGAAAGGCCUGGCGCGAUUGGAUGAGCCCAUGUUCGAUUAGCUAGUUGGCGGGGUAAAGGCCCACCAAGGCGACGAUCGAUAGCUGGUCUGAGAGGAUGAUCAGCCACACUGGGACUGAGACACGGCCCAGACUCCUACGGGAGGCAGCAGUAGGGAAUAUUGGACAAUGGGCGCAAGCCUGAUCCAGCCAUGCCGCGUGAGUGAAGAAGGCCCUCGGGUUGUAAAGCUCUUUUGUCCGGAAAGAAAAGCAUUCGGUUAAUACCCGGGUGUUCUGACGGUACCGGAAGAAUAAGCACCGGCUAACUUCGUGCCAGCAGCCGCGGUAAUACGAAGGGUGCAAGCGUUACUCGGAAUUACUGGGCGUAAAGCGUGCGUAGGUGGUUUGUUAAGUCUGAUGUGAAAGCCCUGGGCUCACCCUGGGAAUGGCAUUGGAUACUGGCAGGCUAGAGUGUGCCAGAGGGUAGUGGAAUCCCUGGUGUACCAGUGAAAUGCCUAGAGAUCAGGAGGAACAUCCGUGGCCAAGGCGACUGCCUGGGCCCACACUGACACUGAGGCACGAAAGCGUGGGGAGCAAACAGGAUUAGAAACCCUGGUAGUCCCCGCCCUAAACCAUGCGAACUGGAUGUUGGGUGCAACUUGGCCCGCACUAUCGAAACUAACGCGUUAAGUUCGCCCCCUGGGGAGAACGGUGCCAAGACUGAAACUCAAAGGGAUUGACGGGGCCCCGCACAAGCGGUGGAAUAUGUGGUGUUAUUCGAUGCCACGCGAAGAACCUAUCCUGGCCUUG